rnacentral:rRNA from 1 species
UACAGAGGUCUCAAGCGUUGUUCGGAUUCAUUGGGCGUAAAGGGCGCGUAGGCGGCGGGGUAAGUCGGGUGUGAAAUCUCAGAGCUCAACUCUGAAACUGCACUCGAUACUGCUCUGCUUGAGGACUGGAGAGGAGACUGGAAUUCACGGUGUAGCAGUGAAAUGCGUAGAUAUCGUGAGGAAGACCAGUGGCGAAGGCGGGUCUCUGGACAGUUCCUGACGCUGAGGCGCGAAGGUCAGGGGAGCAAACGGG